rnacentral:rRNA from 1 species
GGGAUUGCCCUAGUAACGGCGAGUGAAGCGGCAACAGCUCAAAUUUGAAAUCUGGCUCUUUCAGAGUCCGAGUUGUAAUUUGCAGAGGGCGCUUUGGCUUUGGCAGCGGUCCAAGUUCCUUGGAACAGGACGUCACAGAGGGUGAGAAUCCCGUACGUGGUCGCUAGCUAUUGCCGUGUAAAGCCCCUUCGACGAGUCGAGUUGUUUGGGAAUGCAGCUCUAAAUGGGAGGUAAAUUUCUUCUAAAGCUAAAUAUUGGCCAGAGACCGAUAGCGCACAAGUAGAGUGAUCGAAAGAUGAAAAGCACUUUGGAAAGAGAGUCAAACAGCACGUGAAAUUGUUGAAAGGGAAGCGCUUGCAGCCAGACUUGCUUGCAGUUGCUCAUCCGGGCUUUUGCCCGGUGCACUCUUCUGUAGGCAGGCCAGCAUCAGUUUGGGCGGUGGGAUAAAGGUCUCUGUCACGUACCUCUCUUCGGGGAGGCCUUAUAGGGGAGACGACAUACCACCAGCCUGGACUGAGGUCCGCGCAUCUGCUAGGAUGCUGGCGUAAUGGCUGUAAGCGGCCCGUCUUGAAACACGGACCAAGGAGUCUAACAUCUAUGCGAGUGUUUGGGUGUCAAGCCCGAGCGCGUAAUGAAAGUGAACGGAGGUGGGAACCCGCAAGGGCGCACCAUCGACCGAUCCUGAAGUUUACGGAAGGAUUUGAGUAAGAGCAUGGCUGUUGGGACCCGAAAGAUGGUGAACUAUGCUUGAAUAGGGUGAAGCCAGAGGAAACUCUGGUGGAGGCUCGCAGCGGUUCUGACGUGCAAAUCGAUCGUCAAAUUUGGGCAUAGGGGCGAAAGACUAAUC